rnacentral:misc_RNA from 1 species
UUGUUUUCAUUUUGAUUUUUGAAUCUAACCUAGAAGGCCAGACUCGGAAACAAAAAAAAUUCUAGAAUUUGGAUACUAAAAGGAAACGUCAUCCCGAUUCCAAAGAAACGAGAGCAACGCCUCCCCGUAUUUUUUAAUGAUCCUUCCGCAGGUUCACCUACGGAAA